rnacentral:rRNA from 1 species
UGGGGAAUAUUGCACAAUGGGCGAAAGCCUGAUGCAGCGACGCCGCGUGAGCGAAGAAGUAUUUCGGUAUGUAAAGCUCUAUCAGCAGGGAAGAAAAAAUGACGGUACCUGACUAAGAAGCACCGGCUAAAUACGUGCCAGCAGCCGCGGUAAUACGUAUGGUGCAAGCGUUAUCCGGAUUUACUGGGUGUAAAGGGAGCGCAGGCGGGGGAGCAAGUCAGCUGUGAAAUAUACGGGCUUAACUCGUAGACUGCAGUUGAAACUGUUCUUCUUGAGUGAAGUAGAGGUAGGCGGAAUUCCGAGUGUAGCGGUGAAAUGCGUAGAGAUUCGGAGGAACACCAGUGGCGAAGGCGGCCUACUGGGCUUUAACUGACGCUGAGGCUCGAAAGUGUGGGGAGCAAACAGGAUUAGAUACCCUGGUAGU